rnacentral:misc_RNA from 1 species
UUUCCGUAGGUGAACCUGCGGAAGGAUCAUUCAUAAUAAGUGUUUUAUGGCACAUUUUUAAAUCCAUAUCCACCUUGUGUGCAAUGUCAGGGUUGAUUUUUCUCUCGAGAGGAUCAACCCCAAACAUCAACUAUAUCUCAACUCUUUGUCUGAAAAAUAUUAUGAAUAAAACAAUUCAAAAUACAACUUUCAACAACGGAUCUCUUGGCUCUC